rnacentral:sRNA from 1 species
AGCCCCGAAUGGAGUGCCCAGGCGUGUUCGCCGCGGAGGCGCCGUUAUCCCGGGCCCGCCAGCCCUGAGCUCCCGGCGGCGCAGGGGAGAUUUUAGAAAAGCAGGCGACCUGCCUCUGAAGAGUGUGGCCUCUGGAGCCAGGCUGACCACCUGAGUUCUCAGGCCAGCUGUCCUACUUGUUGGUGUUGUGGCCCCAGGUUGUGCAUCUUUGUCAGGAACCUCCCGGAAGUGAUGCCAGCUCUUAGUACAUCUGCUCUCAUAGACCUGGCUCCAUUUGUCUCAUUGCUGCUUCCCUUGGACAACUUGGUGGAGCUUCUCCACUAUUGGCUCACAGUGGUUGAUCAACCCCGUUGGACAUUGGUUCUAUGGUACAAAUGGAGUAUAGGACUCAGUCGUCACGGCCUGAGUGAGAGAAGCCUUAUUUCCAAGAUGGAGAAGAAGCGGAGAAAGAAAUGAAAGCCUCUCUUCAGGCUGAACCACAAAAGGCCAUGGGAUUUAACUUUUAUUUACGUUGGACAAGACUGUAAG